UACGUAGGUGGCAAGCGUUGUCCGGAAUUAUUGGGCGUAAAGCGUCCGCAGGUGGUUGUACAAGUCUGCUGUUAAAGCGUCCAGCUUAACUGGAUACAGGCAGUGGAAACUGUGCGACUAGAGUUUGGUAGGGGUCACGGGAAUUCCCAGUGUAGCGGUGAAAUGCGUAGAUAUUGGGAAGAACACCAGCGGCGAAAGCGCGUGACUGGGCCUGAACUGACACUCAUGGACGAAAGCUAGGGGAGCGAAAGGG
rnacentral:rRNA from 1 species